rnacentral:ncRNA from 2 species
CUAGAGUUGCCGCGCCGUGGUGUUCGGGAAGCCGGUGUGAAGCCGGAGCGGCCCUCGCCACUGUGAUCGGGGAGUUCUCGUCCCGUUCCGCGGCCGCAGGACCGGGCCGCGGAGCCACUGGCCGCCUCGCGCGGCCGGGAAGGCAGGGGCGGUCGCGUCGACCCGUCAGCCAGGAGACCGGCCGCGGCAUCUCACGAAGU